CUUGCAGUCUUCCAGUGGCGUUUGGCCCUUUCAGUGUCUCCGUUUGUGCGUGUAGAAAGACAGCAGCCGCACGGACACCAGAUGACCCGUCUUUCCCUAAAGCCCUGGGAGCUUCGGGAGCCCCUUGCUGAGCCCGCGCUGCUGGGAAUGAGUGGAAGAAGGAGAGGGUACUGCGUCCGGAGCAGAGCUCGGGAGCAGUUACACAGGGAGCCGGGACAUGACUGAGGAAGGGCUCUCUGCAGAGCAGACGCGCGCCGACAGCGAGACAGUGACAACCUCAUCGUGCCGCCUCCUGCAGCUCCCUGCAGACCUCACCACCGGGAGGGUUCACCUUCACCCAGCCAUCCUGGGGCAUCAGCUUUGCACGCAGCUGCUCUGCCCCCUCGCCUGGUGUGAACCCCCGGAGGAGGGCCUACGACUUCGACACCCAGGUCACACUCACAGGACUGCGAGGGAGCAGGUCAUAGAGAGCGAAGCACAUCUUUACCCACCCUUCGUAACCUAGUUCCACGUGAAGAAUUCCUGUCACCUAAGAUCAGCAAAUCAAAGCCUGACUCUGGGGACUCAGAAUCUGAGCAGCGACAGGGAAAGCAGACGGGCUUCACGUGCACUUAUACAGCAGCAGUGCCCUGGGAGGGCUGUGAGCAGGUUUUUGGCACCAGGAGCAGACUGGCUCUUGCUGUACUGAACUUAUACUGAA
rnacentral:lncRNA from 1 species